rnacentral:rRNA from 1 species
UACGUAGGGGGGCGAGCGUUGUCCGGAAUCAUUGGGCGUAAAGGGCGCGUAGGUGGUUCUGUAUGUCUACCGUGAAAGCAUACAGCUCAACUGUAUUUUGUCGGUAGAAACUGCAGGACUUGAGGCUGGGAGGGGCUGGUGGAAUUCCCUGUGUAGCGGUGAAAUGCGUAGAUAUGGGGAGGAACACCGGUGGCGAAGGCGGCCAUCUGGACGGAUACUGACGCUGAGACGCGAAAGCGUGGGUAGCAAACAGG